ACGCUCGACACCUACGGGAGGCAGCAGUUAGGAAUAUUGGGCAAUGGAGGAAACUCUGACCCAGCAACGCCGCGUGAAGGAAGAAGGUUUUCGGAUUGUAAACUUCUGAUCUAGGGGAAGAAGGAAGUGACGGUACCCUAGGAGAAAGCCACGACUAACUACGUGCCAUCAGCCGUGGUAAUCUGAGCGGGCUGGCAAGGC
rnacentral:rRNA from 1 species